CAGCAAACACGCAGCUUGCUCUCGCCAUGCACCUCGCCUGUCUCAUCCUCACCGUCUUCCUGGGACAGCUCCUGGGCACCACGGGGCAGGUCACAGUCACCCAGGAAGAUGGACCAGUCAUGGUGAAGCAGGGACACACCUUCCAGACCACCUGCAAAUACCAGACCAGUAAUUUUUAUGGCUUGCUCUGGUAUAAGCUGCAGAAAGGCCAAGCCCCACAGCUGGUCUCCUAUCAAGCAGUGCCUGGCUCCAAGCGCAGCGGCCAUAUCACCACGCACCUGAACACCACGGGGAAAUCCAGUGUCCUGCAGGUGGAGGAAGUGCAGGGCUCUGACACUGCCUUGUACCUCUGUGCUGUGCAAGACACCCUGCUGCAGGGAGCUUCCUCAGCUGUGCAACAACCCAGGGGAGGGAGGGGAUGUGUCUGGGCCACGCUGAGAUGUGUGCAUGGUGGAUCUGUUUUCGAUUCCGUGACGGUGAUGUGUGGGAUGGGACACGGCUGUCUCUUGGCCCUGGCGAUGCCGAAAUUGUUGCGUGUCUGA